GUUUUUGUGGCCGAGUGGUUAAGGUGAUGGAUUUGAAAUCCAUUGGGGUAUCCCCUUGCAGGUUUGAAUCCUGCCAACAACG